rnacentral:rRNA from 1 species
UACGGAGGAGGCAAGCGUUGUUCGGAAUUACUGGGCGUAAAGGGCUCGUAGGCGGCCAACUAAGUCGGAUGUGAAAUCCCCAGGCUUAACCUGGGAAUUGCAUCCGAUACUGGAUGGCUUGAAUCCGGGAGAGGGAUGCGGAAUUCCAGGUGUAGCGGUGAAAUUCGUAGAUAUUCGGAAGAACACCAGUGGCGAAGGCGACUCGCUGGACAGGUAUUGACGCUGAGGUGCGAAAGCGUGGGGAGCAAACAGG